UAGACGGAUGCUCGCUGGUUCGGGUGUUUAGCUGUUAACUAAAAGUUUGUAGGAUCGAAGCCUACCCGUCUAG
rnacentral:tRNA from 1 species